GACGAACGCUGGCGGCGUGCUUAACACAUGCAAGUCGAACGGAAAGGCCCUGCUUUUGUGGGGUGCUCGAGUGGCGAACGGGUGAGUAACACGUGAGUAACCUGCCCUUGACUUUGGGAUAACUUCAGGAAACUGGGGCUAAUACCGGAUAGGAGCUCCUGCUGCAUGGUGGGGGUUGGAAAGUUUCGGCGGUUGGGGAUGGACUCGCGGCUUAUCAGCUUGUUGGUGGGGUAGUGGCUUACCAAGGCUUUGACGGGUAGCCGGCCUGAGAGGGUGACCGGCCACAUUGGGACGGGGAUACGGCCCAGACUCCUACGGGGGGAAGAGGUGGGAAUAAUUGAACAAGGGGCGAAGCCUGAUGCAGCAACGCCGCGUGCGGGAUGACGGCCUUCGGGUUGUAAACCGCUUUCGCCUGUGACGAAGCGUGAGUGACGGUAAUGGGUAAAGAAGCACCGGCUAACUACGUG
rnacentral:rRNA from 1 species